CCUUCGAUAGCUCAGUUGCAGAGCGGAGGACUGUAGAUCCUUAGGUCGCUGUUUCAAAUCCGGCUCGAAGGA
rnacentral:tRNA from 1 species